rnacentral:lncRNA from 1 species
GAGAAAUCAAUGAUCAGUGAGCGAAUGUCACAAAAGGCGGAUAAGGGAUGGAUACAGAAGACACUACUGGUGGAAGUGUAAAGUUGUAAGCUCGUCUUUCUGAGCAGUAGUGAAUACUAUCUACUGCCCAAAGGACGAAUUUACAAGUUUAUACUGCAAGGUACAUCUAGUAUGCCACAAUCAGGUUGACUCAUCUGGUGCAGUCCAUAAAUGAAGAUACUGCAGCAAGUAGCAUUUUUUAUUUUCCAUAAGCAGGACCAUUAUUUAGAAUGUGGAAGUUUGACAGAUUCAAGAUAGCAGUAGCGUAUUAACUGAGUAGUCUGGUUGUCAUCUUUUUUAUGAGUGUACUAUGUGGUAGUUGUAUAUGUGACAUUUCUUAAAAUUGUCCUUACCUGUAAGUCUCCUUAAACUGAUUUUACACACACACACACACACACACACACACACAGAGCAAAAUUAUAUUAUUGUUGUGAGGAAAGCACAGAGGAUGCUAAUGAAUUGAUAACAUUUUUAAUUUUGUUGUUGUUAAAAUUGACAGUGUUUUUUUUUUUAAUUUAGCUAUGUUUGUUAUAGAUGGUGACAACAUAAAGUUAAAAAAGACAAAAAUCAAAGGAAGGAAAUAGAUUAGAAAUGUUAUAGACCACUUGUUUUCAAAAAUUGUUAUACUUCAUUAUACUUAGUAUUUCUAAAAUCCAUAUUUGUUUGCACAUAUUUACCAGUGUAGAGUAAGUGAAUACAUGUUUCAGCAUAGUUUGUAGCCAUAGUUCCCAGAUGAACAGGUCAGAUUGUAUAUAUUAAAGACACACAAAUGCACAUUUUCAUGUCACAAUUAGUCAAAGUAAUAAAGUCUAGUAAUGCUG